CGUAAGGUGCCGAAUGAGUCAUUAAAAAUUAACAUCAUCCGAUCCCUAGUCGGCAUAGUUUAUGGUUAAGACUACGACGGUAUCUGAUCGUCUUCGAUCCCCUAACUUUCGUUCUUGAUUAAUGAAAACAUCCUUGGCAAAUGCUUUCGCAGUAGUUAGUCUUCAAUAAAUCCAAGAAUUUCACCUCUGACAAUUGAAUACUAAUGCCCCCAACUAUCCCUAUUAAUCAUUACGUCGAUCCUAGAAACCAACAAAAUAGGAUCAAACGUCCUAUUUCGUUAUUCCAUGCUAAUCUAUUCAAGCUUAAAGCUUGCUUUAAACACUCUAAUUUUUUCAAAGUAACAGUCCUGAUUCCCCAC
rnacentral:misc_RNA from 1 species